rnacentral:rRNA from 1 species
GAUGAACGCUGACAGAAUGCUUAACACAUGCAAGUCUUUGGCGAAGCUGUGCUUGCACAGCCUAGCCAAGGCGGACGGGUGAGUAACGCGUAAGGAACUUGCCCGGCAGUCAGGGAUAACAGACGGAAACGACUGAUAAGACCUGGUAAAGUCAGGCGGACUCAUGUCCAGCCUGAUGAAAAGAGAUGCUGCAGGAGAGCCUUGCGUCCUAUUAGCUUGUUGGUGGGGUAACGGCCCACCAAGGCGAUGAUAGGUAGCCGGCCUGAGAGGGUGGACGGCCACAAGGGGAAUGAGAUACGGCCCUUACUACUACGGGAGGCAGCAGUGGGGAAUAUUGGACAAUGGGGGCAACCCUGAUCCAGCAAUUCUGUGUGCACGAUGAAGGUUUUCGGAUUGUAAAGUGCUUUCAGAAGGGAAGAAAAAAAUGACGGUACCUGCAGAAGAAGCGACGGCUAAAUACGUG